ACCGCGAGGUUUAGCAAAUCUCUUAAAGCCGCUCUCAGUUCGGAUUGUAGGCUGCAACUCGCCUACAUGAAGUCGGAAUCGCUAGUAAUCGCGGAUCAGCAUGCCGCGGUGAAUACGUUCCCGGGCCUUGUACACACCGCCCGUCACACCAUGAGAGUUUGUAACACCCAAAGCCGGUGGGGUAACCUUUUGGAGCCAGCCGUCUAAGGUGGGACAGAUGAUUAGGGUGAAGUCGUAACAAGGUAUC
rnacentral:rRNA from 1 species